rnacentral:rRNA from 1 species
CAGUAGCCGCGGUAAUACGUAGGUCCCGAGCGUUGUCCGGAUUUAUUGGGUGUAAAGCGAGUGCAGGCGGUUAGAUAAGUCUGAAGUUAAAGGCUGUGGCUUAACCAUAGUACGCUUUGGAAACUGUUUAACUUGAGUGCAAGAGGGGAGAGUGGAAUUCCAUGUGUAGCGGUGAAAUGCGUAGAUAUAUGGAGGAACACCGGUGGCGAAAGCGGCUCUCUGGCUUGUAACUGACGCUGAGGCUCGAAAGCCAGGGGAGCAAAUGGGAUUAGAUACCCCAGUAGUCCCUGUCUCUUAUACA